GUCUACAGCCAUACCACCCUGAACGCACCUGAUCUAAGAAGCUAAGCAGGGGCGGGCCUUGGUUCAUACAUGGAUGGGAAAGUGACCAUGAAAAGGUACACUUAGAUA
rnacentral:rRNA from 1 species